UUUUUUUUUUCAUAGUGUUAAAAUUCAUAGGCUCUGGAGGGAGGCUGCUUGUGUUAAAAACUUCUUAAAUCAGAUAUUAGCUGUAUGAUCCUGGGUAAGUCAUUUAAUCUUUCCAGCCUUCAAUUUCCACAUCUAAUAAAUUAGUGUAAUAAUAUACAACUCAUGGGUUAUGACAAAAACUAGUAUAUACAUAUAUUUUUUCACAUGCACAUGCACACACAUAUAUAUAUGUACACACACAGGUUAUACAUAUGUAUACAUAUAUAUCAUAGAAUAAUAACUACCCCAUACUAACUGAUCUGCUUCAUAAAUGUCAACCAUUAUCAUAAUUAUUUCUAAAAACAAAAACCACUGUUAAAUAUUUUCUACUAGAGAUUAUCCAAUUAGUUAUCUGCUCACAUCUGUAGAGAAAACUCCUUUCUGGAUGAUGGCAGGUUCAAAAUUUCAUUCUUCCUUCUGGACAGCCCUGAGCAAAUUGUGAAGCAGACAAAGAUUGAGUUUAGUUCAUUCAGUCUCCAGUCUGUGAACAUUUUUUCCUAUUUCCAUGUCACUCCCAUCUUUCGAGAAUCUUUUUUUUUUCCGAUCUGUUUUUCCUAUGUCUUUACACAUUUAUUCACAGUAAAGAAAUUGAGAAUUUAACAUGAUACUCUCAGAGGUAUAUUUAUAUGAGAACUGUGGCCUGUAGAAAAGGCAAAACUAACUAUAAGAUAUAAAUAUCUCACUCUGGAGUUUUAGGAAUUUUGGAGCAGCGUUUUUAGAAAGUUUGUCCUUUGCAGUGUCUCUGAAAUCACAGUGGGUAAGUGCCCUUUUCAAAAGUGUAAGGCUAGCCCUGCUCACUGCAUGUCUGCUACUUUGGUUCCAAAUUGAUCAUCAGUUAACUGAAUAGUUUGGAUUCUGUGAUACUGAAUGAAUUUUUCCAAUGCAGUUCCCAGUUCUGAAGAAAUAUAUUCGGUAAUUCCCUUCUCCAGUUCUAUUUCGUUUUUGAGUCAAUUCUAACUUUUUUAUUGAAUGUCUAGGAAGCACUUUUGCUGUCAGCAGGAGUCCUGAGACUUCGCUCAGGACAAUGUAGCAAGGCCAGGACCACUUAAAUUGUCUCUCUAGUCUCCUGACUCUCCCAUUUUCUCCUACAGCAGCCGGAGAUAUUUGUAUAAAAUACCAGAGGGCAUGAGGGUCUAUCAGGAACAGAAAAGGGAGCUAUGGGAAACUUGAAGAUUAUGCUAGAGUGAGUGGAAAAUCAUUGAAAAUGGUUUGGCAAUGUGGAUGGAAACAAAAUGUAUUUUGCAGUGUGUCCUCAUUGCACUUUCAUGCUCAAAGACCCAGCACAGAAGACUGGGUUCACCUUUAGGGACACCUAGUGCAGGCAGAAUCCAAGCUGAAGUCUGUCUGAGUCCCUUAGCACAGUGUUUGGGUCAGUUCCUUACGCCAUAUGGGAGUUCAUGAACAUUUGCCAUUCACACAAGAUUUAAAAAGCUUUAUGUGGAGUUCUCGUCGUAGUGCAGUGGUUAAGGAAUCCGACUAGGAACCAUGAGGUGGUGGGUUCAAUCCCUGGCCUUGCUCAGUGGGUUAAGGAUCUGGCGUUGCCGUGAGCUGUGGUAUAGGUCACAGACGUGGCUCAGAUCCUGUGUUUCUGUGGCUGUGGUGUAGGCCAGUGGCUACACCUCUGAUAGGACCCCUAGCUUGGGAACCUCCAUAUGCCGUGGGAGCGGCCCUAGAAAAGACAAAAAAGACAAUAAAUAAAUAAAUAAAUAAAUAAAUAAAUAAAUAAAAAGCUUUAUGUAACCUAUUGCUCCACUUUUUUGAUCUCAUCUCCUAUUACUCCUCUUUUUCACUAUUCUGAUCACACUUGUCCCCUUUGUAUUCCUCAGAUACACGAAGGACACAGACUCCUCAUGGCCUUUGGAUUUGUUGGUCCCAUUGUUGGCAAUUCAAUCAGCCAUCCAUCUAACAUGUGCUCUAACUUCCUUUGUGUGUCUAUUCAUAACACGUUAUUGAGCAUUAUUUAUUGAGGAUCUAAUAGCCCUCAAUAAAAGAGCUCCCAACUCCUGCAACAUCCUUCUUUGUACCUCUGUUCAUAGCGCUUACCUCAUAUAAUUGCAUGCAAAUUAUAUAUUUGUGUGGUUUUGCCUAUUACUUCUGUUUCAGGCUUUCAUCCCUGGAGGAUGUAAGCUUCAUGAGAGAAAGGGUUUUAUUUUUGUUCAUUGCUGUCUUUCAGGUUCUCCAACAGUUCUAGAUGGAAGUACUAAGUAAAAUUUUAAACUCCUCCUAUGUUGACCUAUUAUUGAACUGAAAUAUCUGUAGCAUUUUCUUAUCUCACCACCAUCCCCAGCCCCAUCCUCCCAGGGAGUAGCUGGGUAUUGAAUUAUAGCUUCUUGAUUAACACUAUCAUAUCUUUUCUAAUAUAUGUUCACAGUUUACUUACAAUAGUAGGGUUAAAAUCCUGAUCAAAGGAGAGAGAUCAAGAUAUAUACCACUGAUUACAUUUCUUGAUUAUAAUCCAUUGGCUAUAAGUUCCUACUGCCAUGCUUCCAUGGACAGCAUCAGAUCCAGCCACGAAUGAUGCAUAAAUAAUAUAAAGCAUUGUUUUUAAACUUCAUCUGGAUUGUAGCAUUUUAUCCAUAUCAUUUGUAUUUUCUUUUUUUACAUAUUAAAGACAAAAGGGAAAUCUUACAAGCCAUCAGGCAGAAAGAGCAUAUUUAUAAGAAAGGAACAACUAUGAAACUGACCUAGGUUUCUUUCUUUCUUUCUUUCUUUCUUUGGUCUUUUUAGGGUCACACCCAUGGCAUAUAGAUGUUCCCAGGCUGGGGUCGAAAUGGAGCUGCAGCUGCCGGUCACAGCCACAGCAGCUAGGGAUCCGUGCUGCAUCUGCCACCCACACCACAGCUCAUGGCAAUGCUGGAUUCUUAACCCACUGAGCGGAGCCAGGGAUCGAACCUACAUCUUCAUGGAUGCUAGUCAGAUUCAUUUCCGCUGAUCCACAAUGGGAACUCCUGGCUUAGGUACCUUAAAAAUAGUAAAAGAAACUAAAGGACUAAUUAGCCAUGGUACUGAUCUAUGAAAAUUCUAUCCUUAGAUGAGUUAUCACUUACUAGUAGUGAAUGUAAAAUAAAGUCAUUUCCAAAAAAAGAUAGUGUUUGCAACUGCUAGACUUAACUGAAAGAACUCAGUGAUUUAUUUAGAGGAAAGGAACAGAAUGCAAGAAGCAACAAUGAGCAUAGAAAUUUGUUAGCAUAUGGAUAAAAGUUUAUAUGUGUGCACAUGUAUUUAUUUGUUCUUAAAUAUUUUAUUUGCUUUUAUGUUUUUAGUUAUUUAAAAGUAAUCACAUAUGAUGCUAUCAAAUUGUUUGAAAUUCCUGGAAGUCUAAUCCUGCUAUUAAUUUUGCCUACUGGUUUUCUCUUAUAAUAGAGCCAGAAAUGAAGACCUAAGGAAGAAAAGCCAGAGAUAUAAAUCAUAACCUGGAUUGAGUAGUGCCAUAAAACCUCAAAGAGGAGCAUGUUUUAAAGGCAGCAAUCAACUGUGGUGAAUACUACCGCAAAGACAUGUUUAAGAUAAUGAUAGGAAUGAGUUCAUUAGAUUUACCGACAAGAUGGAUUUCUCUUUGUGCCUCAGAGGUAACAAACCUGGCUAGUAUCCAUAAGGUCAUGGGUUCCAUCCCUGGCCUUGCUCAGUGGGUUAAGCAUCUAGCAUUUCUGGGAGCUGCAGUGUAGAUCACAGACACGGCUCAGACCUAGCAUUGCUGUGGCUGUGGCGUAGGGCAGCAGCUACAGAUAUGUUCCCCUAGCCUGGAAAUUUCCAUAUGCCAUGGAUACGGCCCUAAAAAAAAAAAAAAAUUUACCAACAAGAACUCAUAAUGGACUUUGACAACUACUAUUAAGUGGAGCAGAACCUAUAGUAGCACAGGUGAGACAGUAAAUGAGAUGGGUCAAAUAUGACUUAGUUACAUUUUUCUAUUUCCUCUGAGACCCCUAUUGAAAUGAGAAGGUAUCAGUGUGUCAUUCAAGGUUCUUCAGAGAAACAGACCAUCUAUAUAUGAAAUAAUAAUAAACAGAGGUGCAGAUAUCUCUUCAAGUGAUUUCA
ensembl:lncRNA